rnacentral:lncRNA from 1 species
UUUUAGUGAUUAACAUACAUGAAAUUGAGUGGAGCAGAAACUAACUAAGAUUAACUAAUUACAGUGCAACAUACCUUCUCCUUUGCACAAGCAAGAAACCGUCGACCAGUGUGAGUAGAUUGAAAUGCAACUUGCCUGAGGCAAGGCUCUAGAUGCACACAACGAGAAGAUAGUUCAUGAGCAAUGCAACUCCAUUCAUAGCAUGUGAUAGUCCUAGGAAGCUAAAAACAGAAGACACCGAACUGUUAUGAAAUCCCGAAAUGAAGAACCCUAAACCUAUUAACCGUAAAUGUUGGAAUCCCGAAAUUAACGUACCUGGCUGGUCACACUAUCGUCAUCCCAAGAAGAGCUUGAUCCCUCGCUCCAAUAGACCAUGGUAGAUUAAUUGGCAGACCUAAAUAUUUAUACUACUUAAUUA